GUAGUCCACGCCGUAAACGUUGGGCACUAGGUGUGGGACCCUAUCGACGGGUUCCGUGCCGUAGCUAACGCAUUAAGUGCCCCGCCUGGGGAGUACGGUCGCAAGACUAAAACUCAAAGAAAUUGACGGGGGCCCGCACAAGCGGCGGAGCAUGUUGCUUAAUUCGAUGCAACGCGAAGAACCUUACCUAGGUUGAACUACGCAGGAAAAGCCAUAGAGAUAUGGUGUCCGAAAGGGUCUGCGAUAGGUGGUGCAUGGCUGUCGUCAGCUCGUGUCGUGAGAUGUUGGGUUAAGUCCCGCAACGAGCGCAACCCUUAUUCUAUGUUGCCAGCGGGUAAUGCCGGGGACUCGUAGAAGACUGCCGGGGUCAACUCGGA
rnacentral:rRNA from 1 species